CGGAAACCGGGGACAGCGGCGGGGGUAAAACGGAGGGUGAAAGCGUUAAUCGGAAUUACUGGGCGUAAAGCGUGCGCAGGCGGCUUAUUAAGUCAGAUGUGAAAUCCCUAGGCUCAACCUAGGAACUGCAUUUGAAACUAAUAAACUAGAGUAUCGUAGAGGGAGGUAGAAUUCCAGGUGUAGCGGUGAAAUGCGUAGAUAUCUGGAGGAAUACCAGUGGCGAAGGCGACCUCCUGGACGAAAACUGACGCUCAAGCACGAAAGCAUGGGGAGCAAACAGGAUUAGAUACCCCAGUAGUC
rnacentral:rRNA from 1 species